GAAAUGCGAUAAGUAAUGUGAAUUGCAGAAUUCAGUGAAUCAUCGAAUCUUUGAACGAACCUUGCGCUCCUUGGUAUUCCUUGGAGCAUGCCUGUUUGAGUAUCUUGAAAUCUUCAAAGUAAAUCUUUUGUUAACUCAAUUGGUUUCUACUUUGGUAUUGGAGGUCUUUGCAGCUUCACACCUGCUCCUCUUUGUUCAUUAGCUGGAUCUCAGUGUUAUGCUUGGUUCCACUCGGCGUGAUAAGUUAUCUAUCGCUGAGGACACUGUAAAAGGUGGCCAAGGUAAAUGCAGAUGAACCGCUUCUAAUAGUCCAUUGACUUGGACAAUACUUUUAUGAUCUGAUCUCAAAUCAGGUAGGACUACCCGCUGAACUUAAGC
rnacentral:misc_RNA from 1 species